GUCUACGGCCAUGCCAACCUGAACAAGCCUGAUCCCGUCUGAUCUCGGAAGCUAAGCAGAGUCAAGCCUCAUUAAUAUUUGUAUGGGAGACCACCUAGGAAGACCAGGUGCUGUAGGCA
rnacentral:rRNA from 1 species